CCCUUAGAUGUUCUGGGCCGCACGCGCGCUACAUUGAUGCAUUCAACGAGUCUAAAACCUGCUCUGAUAGGGGUGGGUAAUCUUUUGAAUGUGCAUCGUGAUUGGGAUAGAUGAUUGCAAUUUUUCAUCUUCAACGAGGAAUGCCUAGUAAACGCAAGUCAUCAGCUUGCAUUGAUUACGUCCCUGCCCUUUGUACACACCGCCCGUCGCUCCUACCGAUUGAAUGAUCCGAUGAAUAUCAUGGAUUGAGGAUGCAAGCAGGUUCGCCUGUCUUCAUCUUCGAGAAGUGAAGUAAAUCUUAUCAUUUAGAGGAAGGAGAAGUCGUAACA
rnacentral:rRNA from 1 species